GCUGGACCUCUAGGUUGAAAAAUCAUUAACGCAAGUGUCACAGUGCAUAGUAUCAUGUUUCACGUUUGUAGUGUUUUAAUGCAUUUAUUUGUGUCCUGUGUGCUGUGUUUUGUUUUGCUUUGACGUGUGGACUUUGAUAUUCCCGUCACGGCUGUCCCAAAUCAAACUGACAAUUAACAAAGACUCAAAAACUCACAAUCGAACCUAUAGGAAGGGGGCUACUUAAUUUAAUGAGGGGGAACAGGUGUGUGGGAGUUUUUCUCCCUAUAUUUGCAGGAUCGACAGACACAGAGCAGGUAUCAAGUCAGGCGGAGAACUGCAAAAGACACAGUGGCCGAGCCAGAGGUGGCCUACCCAGCCGGACACACAGCAGAGCAGUUCCAGGAUUUCGGCAUCCACGCAAAAGCUAUAUUCCGGGUGGCAGAUUUGGUCUGCACCCGGCAAUGUGAGUAGCUCCUUUUUGCCUCGAACAACAUAACGUGUGUUAGUAGUGGUAGUUUGCUCCGUACUGCCCAAAGUCUCCCUUGUUUCAGCUGAGCGAUUGCAUCGCUGCUGGUGAUCGGGUGGAGAGCUGAUAGCCUGUGGAGGACUUACGGGAAGGCAGUGAGUUGUGAGGACUGCUUCCCUGAGAACACUGAGUGCAUUCUGGAAUAUUCCAAAUGUGUGCCACUUCCAUACAGAAGAAGUUUCAAUCCCGCAAGAGUUCACUCACCAGUGGGCUCCAUCAACAGACCAGGGCAAAGUCGGUCUGUCCUGCUGCUACUACUACAUGCUACUUGACUAUGUCUGGAAGCCAUGGCUGCUGCCCUCAACAUGCUAAACUGAAACCCUCACAAAUAAACUGAUAUCAAUAAUUAACAUUGAUGGUGAUGGUGGCAAGGGUGCCUUCAUAAGGUGCCAUCCAGCAAGUCCCAGCCUGGAGCCAGAGGCUGGCACUGCACGUCAGAUGGGGGAGGAUCUAUGUUAGGCAUCAGAAAGGUGGUUUAAGCAAGAAGGAAAGAGCUUCUGCAGACAGUGUUGCAAUUAGACACCUGACUUUUACUGCCAAAGGGACCAUCAGAGCACCUCUCCCUACCAUCUAUACCAGAAGAGUACGGACAAGGGCCCAAAAUGUUUUAAAGGACGUUGCCCGCCCAGACCAUGGACUGUUUAAACCACUGUGGUCAAGCAGAAGUCUCUGUUCUCACUCGAGGCAGGUCACUGAGAGGGGGCGAGUGUCACUGCGUAAGCCCCCUACUGCAGGCGAGAAAGCCAUGUUGAUUUGAAUAUUGAUUGAUAAAUACAAUAAAGGCCAUGUAACAAA